rnacentral:rRNA from 1 species
CCUACGGGGGGCAGCAGUGGGGAAUAUUGGGCAAUGGAGGCAACUCUGACCCAGCAACGCCGCGUGAAUGAUGAAGGUCCUCGGAUUGUAAAGUUCUGUGAUGGGGGAUGAACACAAUGACGGUACCCCAAUAGCAAGCCACGGCUAACUACGUGCCAGCAGUCGCGGUAAUACGUAGGUGGCAAGCGUUAUCCGGAAUGACUGGGUGUAAAGGGUGCGUAGGUGGUUUAGUAAGUUGGCGGUGUAAUUCCGGGGCUCAACCUCGGCGCUACCGCCAGAAUUAUUAGUCUUGAGUGCGGGGGGGGUAAGUGGAAUUCCUGGUGUAGCGGUGGAAUGCGUAGAUAUUAGGAGGAACAUCAGGGGCGAAGGCGACUUACUGGACUGUAACUGACGCUGAGGCACGAAGGCGUGGGGAGCGAACAGGAUUAGAUACCCCGGUAGUC